UACAGAGGGUGCAAGCGUUGUUCGGAAUUAUUGGGCGUAAAGAGCGCGUAGGCGGUCUUGUAAGUGUGAAGUGAAAUCUCCAGGGCUCAACCCGGAAACUGCUUUACAUACUGCAAGACUGGAGUGAUGCAGAGGUUUGUGGAAUUCCUGGUGUAACGGUGAAAUGUGUUGAUAUCAGGAGGAACACCCCAUGGCGAAGGCAGCAAACUGGGGCAUCAA
rnacentral:rRNA from 1 species